rnacentral:pre_miRNA from 1 species
AAUAAGUGCAGUUUUACACUAUUCACGUUCAACGUUUGACCGUUCGUCUUAUUUGAAAUUUUUUUAUUAGUAUUUUUAUUGCUAUUAGAUGAUAAAAUAUGAAUAAUACUUUAUGUGUGGCUAAUUUUUUUAAUUUUUUUCAUUAAUUUUUCAAAUAAGACGGACGGUCAAAUGUUGGACACGAAUAUCCACGGCUGCACUUAUU